rnacentral:rRNA from 1 species
UGCUGUAGUAUUUUGACUAUACAAAGGUAUUGAAAUAAGAUUUUAAAUGAGUGCUAAGAGAAUGAUUAAACAAUUAAAAGCUUUCUUUAAUUAAAAAAUUAAAUUUAAUUUUUUUUAGUGCAAAAGCAAAAAUAAAAUUUAGGGACAAGAAGACCCUAUGAAUUUUUAUUGUUAAUAAUUAAAAUUUAAGUUAUUAAUAAUUUAAUUGGGGCGAUAAAAAAAGAAUAAGUAUCUUUUUAGUUAUAAAAUAAGUUCCGUUUUUAGCGAUUAAAUGAAAUAAAUACUCUAGGGAUAACAGCGUAAUAAUUUUGGAUAGUUCAUAUAGAUAAAAUAGUUUGCGACCUCGAUGUUGGAUUAGGAU